rnacentral:tRNA from 1 species
CAUUAGAUGGCUGAAUGUAAGUAAUGGUCUCUUAAACCAAUUUAUAGUAGAGUAACGUCUACUUCUAAUG